GUGAGCCGCCAUAGCGCAGGGGCCACACCCGAUCCCAUCCCGAACUCGGUAGUUAAGCCCGGCAACGCCGAUGAUCCUAAGCGGGUUCACCGGCUGGAAGCCUGUGCCGCUAAGG
rnacentral:rRNA from 1 species